UCAUUUCUAUAUAAAUCAACAUGCUGCUUGGUUCUCCAUUCUUCAUUCCACUAAACAUGCUGAAUAUGUUUGCUGUUGUGUUUAGUUUAUUUGUCCUGUAUGGUGACGUCAUGAUUGCGAGAAGCCAUGCGGAUAGCCGUUCUGAAAAAUGCAGGUACCCAUUUCGGACAAUAGGGGAUAGCUGUUACUUAAUCAGCAAGGAGAAAGUGACUCCAGAUCAAGCAUUUGCAUUGUGUUUACGACGUGGUGCAUACCUAGCUAAUUUUGAGACUCUAGAAGAGGCCAUGUUAUUGAAGUAUGAACUUCAACUAAUGAAAACAGGUUUACACUUCCAUGUUGGCGGGCGAAACAUAAACAGAUACGUCCAUGGAGGAGACUAGAGAUGGAUAAAAAACGGCAAAAUGAUCAAGAUGGCGUACAAGGCUUUUGGUUCUGGUCAACCUGAGAGAUCAAAUCCUAGCCCACAAGACUGCAUGAUGUUUUAUGCAGGAGAAAGAUAUAUCUUUCACGAUGUAUACUGUGACUAUCCGUCAUGGAGCAGUGGUUAUAUCUGUGAGAAAUAAUAAAAUAAACAACUUUUGAUGAU